rnacentral:misc_RNA from 1 species
UCGAAGCCUAGAAAGCGCGACCGCGAACUUGUUUCAAAAUCGGGUCGGCAUGGGGAGCUCGCGCUACCCAUCGCCGCCCCGCUCGGUCGCGAGUGGCCCCUCGCCUCUCGCUUCCGAAACCAACCGAACCCCGGCGCGGCAAGCGUCAAGGAUACCGAUCGAUAGAACUUGCACCCCGGGUCCGUCCUCGGGCCUUGAGUGCAAGUAGUCUGUUCAACUAAUAUAUCAUAACGACUCUCGGCAACGGAUAUCUCGGCUCUCGCAUCGAUGAAGAACGUAGCAAAAUGCGAUACUUGGUGUGAAUUGCAGAAUCCCGUGAAUCAUCGAGUCUUUGAACGCAAGUUGCGCCCGACGCCUUUUGGCCGAGGGCACGUCUGCCUGGGCGUCAUGCACUGCGAUGCCCCCACAUACAAGUAUGGGGGCGGAGCCUGGCCUCCCGUGAGUCCGGCUCGCGGAUGGCUUAAAAAAAGAGCCUCGAGACGGCGAACGUCGCGACAAGUGGUGGUUACGGGGCCUCGAGCCUUCGAUCUUUGCAAGUCGCGCGACCCGCCCCUUCCCCGCUCCUUAGUGAUUCGUACGCGCGCGCUCUGAUCGCGCCGCCAGCAUC